rnacentral:rRNA from 1 species
CGCUGGCGGCGUGCCUAAUACAUGCAAGUCGAACGGUCUUUUCUAUGGAAGCUUGCUUCCACUGAGAAGAUAGUGGCGAACGGGUGAGUAACACGUGGGUAACCUGCCCAUAAGAGGGGGAUAACAUCCGGAAACGGAUGCUAAUACCGCAUAGUUUUCUUGAUCGCAUGAUCGGGAAAGGAAAGACGGCCUUUGUGCUGUCGCUUAUGGAUGGACCCGCGGCGUAUUAGUUAGUUGGUGAGGUAACGGCUCACCAAGACGAUGAUACGUAGCCGACCUGAGAGGGUGAUCGGCCACAUUGGGACUGAGACACGGCCCAAACUCCUACGGGAGGCAGCAGUAGGGAAUCUUCCGCAAUGGACGAAAGUCUGACGGAGCAACGCCGCGUGAGUGAAGAAAGGUUUUCGGAUCGUAAAACUCUGUUGUCAGAGAAGAACAAGUUGGAGAGUAACUGCUCCAGCCUUGACGGUAUCUGACCAGAAAGCCACGGCUAACUACGUGCCAGCCGCCGC